rnacentral:rRNA from 1 species
UACGGGGGGGGUAAGCGUUGUUCGGAAUUACUGGGCGUAAAGGGCUCGUAGGCGGCCAACUAAGUCAGACGUGAAAUCCCUCAGCUUAACUGGGGAACUGCGUCUGAUACUGGAUGGCUUGGAUUCGGGAGAGGAAUGCGGAAUUCCAGGUGUAGCGGUGAAAUGCGUAGGUAUCUGGAGGAACACCGGUGGCGAAGGCGGCAUUCUGGACCGAUAUUGACGCUGAGGAGCGAAAGCCAGGGGAGCAAACGGG